CAGAUUCUCCCAAAGAGGCUCAAAGUGUGGCUUCAUCCAACACAAAGGAAGACAGGCCUCAGAGGAAAAGGACCAGAGAAACAUUUACAGGAAGCAGCAGUCCAGAGACCAGUUCCUCGCCAAGAAAGAGGUUGAGAAUGAUGAUACCUGAGGUUUCCCAAACAUCAGGCCCUGAGGAGUCCAGACGCCAGCUCUUCAGAGAGGAAA